rnacentral:rRNA from 1 species
AAGGAAUAUUGCUCAAUGGGAGAAAUCCUGAAGCAGCAACGCCGCGUGGAGGAUGAAGGGUCUAUGACUUGUAAACUCCUGUAAAGAAGGAAAAAAUUCCCAUUUGAUGGGAGAUGAUGGUACUUCUGGAGUAAGCCCCGGCUAACUACGUGCCAGCAGCCGCGGUAAUACGUAGGGGGCAAGCGUUGUCCGGAUUUACUGGGUGUAAAGGGUGCUCAGGCGGAUUUGUAAGUCAGAGGUGAAAUCUUACAGCUUAACUGUGAAACUGCCUUUGAUACUGCAAGCCUAGAGUAUGGAAGAGAGUGAUGGAAUAUCUGGUGUAGCAGUGAAAUGCGUAGAUAUCAGAUAGAACACCAAUGGCGAAGGCAGUCACUUGGUCCAUUACUGACGCUGAAGCACGAAAGCGUGGGUAGCAAACA